AAACCAGCACCUCAAGUGGUCAGGAUGAUUAUUGGGCCUAAAGCAUCCGUAGCCGGCUCUGUAAGUUUUCGGUUAAAUCUGUACGCUCAACGUACAGGCUGCUGGGAAUACUGUAGAGCUAGGGAGUGGGAGAGGUAGACGGUACUCGGGAGGAAGUGGUAAAAUGCUUUGAUCUCUCGAUGACCACCUGUGGCGAAGGCGGUCUACCAGAACACGUCCGACGGUGAGGGAUGAAAGCUGGGGGAGCAAACCGGAUUAGAAACCCGAGUAGUCC
rnacentral:rRNA from 1 species